UUGUUGAUUUUAUUUUGCAAUUUCUGGUGGAUAUAUAUUCCCCGCAUUGAAGAAUGAAAUGAGGGAGUUCAUCUAGCUUUCUACAUGAAGCAUAACUUAUUCUAAAACACAAUUAUUAUUCUAUUUCCAUCAACUGAAAAGGAGCUUCUCAAUACAGUUUCACUCUCAUAUGGAGAUUCCGUCAGAAAACAGUACCUCGCUCAUACGGACCUAAUCUUCACACGGUGCUUAUAAAUCAAGACGUGCGGGAGCAUCAUCCUUGGAUGAGAUCAGGAUAUGCAGCCCGUUCCGCGGAAUAGCUUGGCCGGUUACGAGUGAUCUAGCGCAAAAGAGAGGCUUAUGAUGGGAAUGAGUAUAUCUAGCGGUAAUGAGCUCAAAUUGUACUUGGAACAUUUUUUAAUACUGUGCAAGAUUAAAGCAUUUGAGGGACCAUGAAGUUAUCUGAAGAGUAAGAAGGUGCCAAGAAUAUAAUGAGGUGUAUAACUUUGAACCCACGGUCCAAAUAUAGUUUCACCAGAAAGGUGAAACCGUUAAUCAUUUCUCGGCAAUUUAAUAAAAAUGAAAAUCAAUGCAAAGAUAGAGGAGUUGAAGCUUUUUUAAACAAAAAAGAGAUGGAAAAAAUUUCGUCGGUAAUGAGACAACCUAAGACACUUCUGCGCUAAUCAUCUAGUGCUACCCAAAAAAAGAUUAUAUGGCGAAUUCAAAGCAUGGGUGUUUGUGUUAGCAUUCAUUGGCAUCGCUGGCGAUCUUUGUUUGUAUUAGUAUUUUUGCUCCACGAGUUUUGGGAAAUAGUAUGUCAAUUGAUGGGUAACAUCGCCGGUGAUUAUAUUCUUUCUCAAGAUACAUUGGUGCCACCGCUACCUCAGUUUAAUACGCACUUCGAAAAAAUCUAUGUUGAGGACUGCUACGUGGACUUUAUCAACCUUAUACCGUGGAGAGACAUCAAUAGUG